rnacentral:rRNA from 1 species
ACUCUUGGUUAUUCUAAGAAGUGUAAUGAGGAUAAUUUAAAACCCUUACCGAAAGCAAUUGGAGGGCAAGUCUGGUGCCAGCAGCCGCGGUAAUUCCAGCUCCAAUAGCGUAUAUUAAAGUUGUUGCAGUUAAAAAGCUCGUAGUUGAAGUUCUGGCUGCUUGACCCUCGAGCUCUGUAGCCGAGGGCUCAGCAGUCAUCCGCUUGCAAAUAUAUGUUCGCCUUUAACCGGGCGGCUAUAUGAGUAAGCAUUUUACCUUGAGAAAAACAGAGUGUUCCAGGCAGGUUUGUCCGGAAUGCAUUAGCAUGGGAUAAUAGAAUAUGACUGAAGUCGAUUUAUUGGUCUGAGGCUUUAGUAAUGAUUAAUAGGAACAGUCGGGGGCAUUGGUACUUGUCAGUCAGAGGUGAAAUUCUAGGAUUUGACAAAGACUAACAAAUGCGAAAGCAUUUGCCAAGGAUGUUUUCAUUAAUCAAGAACGAAAGUUAGGGGAUCAAAGACGAUCAGAUACCGUCCUAGUCUUAACUAUAAACUAUACCGACUCGGAUUCAGAUGAAUCAUAAAGUUCAUUUGGGACCGUAGGAGAAAUCAAAGUUUUUGGGUUCUGGGGGAAGUAUGGUCGCAAGGCUGAAACUUAAAGGAAUUGACGGUUUUGCACCACCAUGGAGUGGAGUCUGCGGCUUAAUUUGACCCAACACUGGGAAACUCAUCAGGGCAAGAAGAUUGUAGGAUUGACAGAUUGAGAGUUCUUUCUUGAUUGGUCUAGUGGUGGUGCAUGGCCGUUCUUAGUUGGUGGAGUGAUUUGUCUGGUUAAUUCCGUUAACGAACGAGACCUUAACCUGCUAACUAGUACACCGAUGACAAAUCGGUGAUACUUCUUAGAGGGACUAUGUGAUGUAAUCACAUGGAAGUUUGAGGCAAUAACAGGUCUGUGAUGCCCUUAGAUGUCCUGAGCUGCACGCGUACUACAAUGGUGCUUUCAUCGAGCUUUUCCUGAUCCGAAAGAAUUUGGGUAAUCUUUUUAGUGAGCACCGUGCUUGGGAUAGAUCUUUGUAAUUAUGGAUCUUGAACUAGGAAUUCCUAGUAAGCACGUGUCAUCAGCACGUGCUGAUUACGUCCCUGCAAAAUGUACACACCGCCCGUCGCUAUUACCGAUUGAGUGUAAAGGUGAACCUUCUCGAUAGGCGCAAGCCUAGAAAUUA